UACAGAGGUCUCAAGCGUUGUUCGGAUUCAUUGGGCGUAAAGGGUGUGUAGGUGGCGCCGUAAGUCGGGUGUGAAAUUUCGGAGCUUAACUCCGAAACUGCAUUCGAUACUGCGCUGCUUGAGGACUGGAGAGGAGACUGGAAUUCAUGGUGUAGCAGUGAAAUGCGUAGAGAUCAUGAGGAAGACCAGUGGCGAAGGCGGGUCUCUGGACAGUUCCUGACACUGAGACACGAAGGCCAGGGGAGCAAACGGG
rnacentral:rRNA from 1 species